rnacentral:rRNA from 1 species
CUACUGGGGUUUCUAAUCCUGUUCGCUCCCCACGCUUUCGCUCCUCAGCGUCAGUAUCGGCCCAGAGACCCGCCUUCGCCACCGGUGUUCCUCCUGAUAUCUGCGCAUUUCACCGCUACACCAGGAAUUCCAGUCUCCCCUGCCGAACUCCAGUGAUGCCCGUAUCGACCGCAAGCCCACAGUUAAGCUGCAGGUUUUCACGGCCGACGCGACACACCGCCUACGAGCUCUUUACGCCCAAUAAUUCCGGACAACGCUCGCACCCUACGUGUUACCGCGGCUGCUGGCAC